AACGAACGCUGGCGGCGUGCCUAACACAUGCAAGUCGAACGAGAAAGUUUCCUUCGGGGAACAAGUAAAGUGGCGCAAGGGUGAGUAACACGUGAAUAAUCUGCCUAUGAAUUCGGGAUAACUCGACGAAAGUUGUGCUAAUACCGGAUAAGACCACGUCUCUUAUGUGAUGUGGUCAAAGGAGUCUCAAACUCCGUUUAUAGAUGAGUUCGCGGACCAUUAGCUUGUUGGCGGGACAACAGCCCACCAAGGCUACGAUGGUUAGCCGGCCUGAGAGGGUGAUCGGCCACACUGGAACUGAGACACGGUCCAGACUCCUACGGGAGGCAGCAGUGGGGAAUAUUGCGCAAUGGGCGAAAGCCUGACGCAGCAACGCCGCGUGAGGGAUG
rnacentral:rRNA from 1 species